UAUUGGGCCUAAAGCAUCCGUAUCCGGCUCUGUAAGUUUUCGGUUAAAUCUGUACGCUUAACGUACAGGCUGCCGGGAAUACUGCAAAGCUAGGGAGUGGGAGAGGUAGACGGUACUCGGUAGGAAGUGGUAAAAUGCUUUGAUCUAUCGAUGACCACCUGUGGCGAAGGCGGUCUACCAGAACACGUCCGACGGUGAGGGAUGAAAGCUGGGGGAGCAAACCGGAUUAGAUACCCGGGUAGUCCCAGCUGUAAACUAUGCAAACUCAGUGAUGCAUUGGCUUGUGGCCAAUGCAGUGCUGCAGGGAAGCCGUUAAGUUUGCCGCCUGGGAAGUACGUACGCAAGUAUGAAACUUAAAGGAAUUGGCGGGGGA
rnacentral:rRNA from 1 species